GACGAACCGUGCGAACGUUGUUCGGAAUCACUGGGCAUAAAGGGCGCGUAGGCGGCUUUUUAAGUCAGGGGUGAAAUCCGGCAGCUCAACUGUCGAAGUGCCCUUGAUACUGAUGAGCUCGAGGGAGGUAGGGGUGUGUGGAACUUCCGGUGGAGCGGUGAAAUGCGUUGAUAUCGGAAGGAACGCCGGUGGCGAAAGCGACGCACUGGACCUCUUCUGACGCUGAGGCGCGAAAGCUAGGGGAGCAAACGGG
rnacentral:rRNA from 1 species